rnacentral:rRNA from 1 species
AUACGGAGGGUGCAAGCGUUGUUCGGAAUCACUGGGCGUAAAGGGCGCGCAGGCGGUUUGGUAAGUCAGAUGUGAAAGCCCACGGCUCAACCGUGGAAGUGCAUUUGAAACUGUCAGACUUGAGUACCAGAGGGGGUAGUGGAAUUCCCGGUGUAGAGGUGAAAUUCGUAGAUAGCGGGAGGAAUACCGGUGGCGAAGGCGACUACCUGGCUGGAUACUGACGCUGAGGCGCGAAAGCGUGGGGAGCAAACAGGAUUAGAAACCCCAGUAGUCC